rnacentral:rRNA from 1 species
UGGGGAAUAUUGGACAAUGGGCGAAAGCCUGAUCCAGCCAUGCCGCGUGAGUGAUGAAGGCCUUAGGGUUGUAAAGCUCUUUCGCCAGGGACGAUAAUGACGGUACCUGGAUAAGAAGCCCCGGCUAACUUCGUGCCAGCAGCCGCGGUAAUACGAAGGGGGCUAGCGUUGUUCGGAAUCACUGGGCGUAAAGCGCAUGCAGGCGGAUCGUUAAGUCGGGGGUGAAAGCCCGAGGCUCAACCUCGGAGCUGCCUUCGAUACUGGCGAUCUUGAGUCCGGGAGAGGUGAGUGGAACUCCGAGUGUAGAGGUGAAAUUCGUAGAUAUUCGGAAGAACACCAGUGGCGAAGGCGGCUCACUGGCCCGGUACUGACGCUGAGAUGCGAAAGCGUGGGGAGCAAACA